UACGGGGGGGGCAAGCGUUGUUCGGAAUUACUGGGCGUAAAGGGCUCGUAGGUGGCCAACUAAGUCAGACGUGAAAUCCCUCGGCUUAACCGGGGAACUGCGUCUGAUACUGGAUGGCUUGAGUUUGGGAGAGGGAAGCGGAAUUCCGGGUGUAGCGGUGAAAUGCGUAGAUAUCCGGAGGAACACCGGUGGCGAAGGCGGCUUCCUGGACCGACACUGACGCUGAGGCGCGAAAGCUAGGGGAGCAAACGGG
rnacentral:rRNA from 1 species